GUCCUAGCUGUAAACGAUGGGCACUAGCUUGGGGUCUCCCUGUGUGAUCCCAGGUGAAGCAAAAGUGAUAAGUGCCCCGCCUGGGGAGUAUGGUCGCAAGGCUGAAACUAAAAGGAAUUGACGGGGGCUCACACAAGCGGUGGAGCAUGUGGUUUAAUUCGAAGCAACGCGAAGAACCUUACCCAGGCUUGACAUGCAGGGAUUAAGCGGAUGAAAGUAUGCGGAUUGCCUUCGGGUGUAACCUGCACAGGUGUUGCAUGGCUGUCGU
rnacentral:rRNA from 1 species